rnacentral:rRNA from 1 species
UACGGAGGACCCAAGCGUUAUUCGGAUUUAUUGGGGUUAAAGGGUGCGUAGGCGGAUUAGUAAGUCAGAGGUGAAAUCCCACAGCUUAACUGUGGAACUGCCUUUGAUACUGCUAACCUUGAGUACAGAUGAUGUGGGCGGAAUAUGACAUGUAGCGGUGAAAUGCUUAGAUAUGUCAUAGAACACCGAUUGCGAAGGCAGCUCACAAAACUGUAACUGACGCUGAGGCACGAAAGCAUGGGGAUCGAACAGG